rnacentral:misc_RNA from 1 species
UUUCCGUAGGUGAACCAGCGGAGGGAUCAUUAUCGAGUUUAUAACUCCCAAACCCUAUGUGAACUUACCACUUGUUGCUUCGGCGCGCGCUUCGGCGCCGCCGAGGACACUUAAACUCUUUGUUUCUAUAAGCAUUUCUGAGUGGCCGAAAGGCAAAAUACAAAUGAAUCAAAACUUUCAACAACGGAUCUCUUGGUUCUG